rnacentral:rRNA from 1 species
AUUGAACGCUAGCGGGAUGCUUUACACAUGCAAGUCGAACGGCAGCGCGGACUUCGGUCUGGCGGCGAGUGGCGAACGGGUGAGUAAUGUAUCGGAACGUGCCCAGUAGCGGGGGAUAACUACGCGAAAGCGUAGCUAAUACCGCAUACGCCCUACGGGGGAAAGCAGGGGAUCGUAAGGCCUUGCACUAUUGGAGCGGCCGAUAUCGGAUUAGCUAGUUGGUGAGGUAACGGCUCACCAAGGCGACGAUCCGUAGCUGGUUUGAGAGGCCGACCAGCCACACUGGGACUGAGCAAGGGCCCAGACUCCUACGGGAGGCAGCAGUGGGGAAUUUUGGACAAUGGGGGCAACCCUGAUCCAGCCAUCCCGCGUGUGCGAUGAAGGCCUUCGGGUUGUAAAGCACUUUUGGCAGGAAAGAAACGUCGCGGGCUAAUACCCCGUGGAACUGACGGUACCUGCAGAAUAAGCACCGGCUAACUACGUG